GUCUCCUUCCUGCAGUGGCGUUCUUUGUUGAAGCUACUGCUGAAACGUCUACCAAGCCUUCCACAAAGGCCUCUGCCAACAAUGGGGCAAAGCAGCGAGCUGAAUAGGGCUAAGCGGGCCAUGUUCUACAAGUAGAGCAGAUCUUGUCGGAGGAAUGAUGUCUUUCUUCCGAUACAACGCAGCAGGUCGCUUCUCCAAGGGACACAAAUGGAGCCCACAAGCGAGCAUGUACUGGUAAUGCUGCAGACAGUUGUCUUCAGACUACAGCUUUUACGUACUGAGCUUCUUGUUGGGCAUCUUUCUGGAUGCUCAAGAAACGAAGCAAAUUGUUUGAUAAACAACCGUUGGAUUUUAUUGCCCAUCUGGGUAAAAUGUUAGGGUGGCAGUAGACAAAGACCGUACAUACGAUACGAGCAGGUGCAUUUCUGUCUCGAGUUGGCGAGGUUACAGUACAGCACAGUUUGAUACACUACAUGUCAA
rnacentral:misc_RNA from 1 species